rnacentral:rRNA from 1 species
GACGAACCGUGCAAACGUUGUUCGGAAUCACUGGGCUUAAAGGGCGCGUAGGCGGACCAUCAAGUCAGGGGUGAAAUCCUCCAGCUUAACUGGAGAACUGCCUUUGAUACUGAUGGUCUCGAGUAAGGUAGGGGCGUGCGGAACUGAUGGUGGAGCGGUGAAAUGUGUUGAUAUCAUCAGGAACUCCGGUGGCGAAAGCGGCACGCUGGACCUUCACUGACGCUGAUGCGCGAAAGCCAGGGGAGCAAACGGG